rnacentral:rRNA from 1 species
CAGCAGCCGCGGUAAUACGGAGGGUGCAAGCGUUAAUCGGAAUUACUGGGCGUAAAGCGCACGCAGGCGGUCUGUCAAGUCAGAUGUGAAAUCCCCGGGCUUAACCUGGGAACUGCAUUUGAAACUGGCAGGCUAGAGUCUUGUAGAGGGGGGUAGAAUUCCAGGUGUAGCGGUGAAAUGCGUAGAGAUCUGGAGGAAUACCGGUGGCGAAGGCGGCCCCCUGGACAAAGACUGACGCUCAGGUGCGAAAGCGUGGGGAGCAAACAGGAUUAGAUACCCCGGUAGUCCCUGUCUCUUAUAU